rnacentral:tRNA from 1 species
AGGACACGUGCCCGAAAAUAAGGGCCACUUUGAUAGAGUGUAAUAUAGAGGUUAAAAUCCCCUCGUCUCCUU